AAACACAACUGUCAGAGCUGCUUCCAGAUCCUAGCUCACAGAGGAUCACGCUAGCCAGCGAUCAUUAAACAAAAGUCUUUAUUGAGUUACAGUUUCCAUUCUCAAACUGCUGCGUGCAACUCUACGUCUCAUGGUUAGACCGGCGAAGCUCCGUCUGAGUCUCCGCCCCUUGUACACCAACUUAAUAUCCUAGCCCUGCUCCACCUUUUCCGCCUGACU